rnacentral:rRNA from 1 species
GUGCCAGCAGCCGCGGUAAUACCAGCACCCCGAGUGGUCGGGACGAUUAUUGGGCCUAAAGCAUCCGUAGCCGGUCCUGCAAGUCUUCCGUUAAAUCCAGCUGCUCAACAGAUGGGCUGCGGGGGAUACUACAGGGCUAGGAGGCGGGAGAGGCAAGCGGUACUUUAUGGGUAGGGGUAAAAUCCGUUGAUCCAUAGAAGACCACCAGUGGCGAAGGCGGCUUGCCAGAACGCGCUCGACGGUGAGGGAUGAAAGCUGGGGGAGCAAACCGGAUUAGAAACCCCCGUAGUCC